UGAGAGGAAGAUCAGCCCACCACUGGGACUGAGACCCCGGCCCCAGACUCCUACGGGAGGCAGCCAGUGGGGAAUAUUGCACCAAUGGGGGAAACCCUGAUGCAGCCAUGCCGCGUGUGUGAAGAAGGCCCUUCGGGUUGUAAAGCACUUUCAGUUGUGAGGAAAGGUUGGUAGUUAAUACCUGCCAGCUGUGACGUUAACAACAGAAGAAGCACCGGCUAACUCCGUGCCAGCAGCCGCGGUAAUACGGAGGGUGCGAGCGUUAAUCGGAAUUACUGGGCGUAAAGCGCACGCCAGGCGGUUUGUUAAGCUAGAUGUGAAAGCCCCGGGCUCAACCUGGGAUGGUCAUUUAGAACUGGCAGACUAGAGUCUUGGAGAGGGGAGUGGAAUUCCAGGUGUAGCGGUGAAAUGCGUAGAGAUCUGGNANGGAACAUCAGUGGCGAAGGCGACUCCCUGGCCAAAGACUGACGCUCAUGUGCGAAAGUGUGGGUAGCGAACANGNGNAUUAGAUACCCUGGUAGUCCACACCGUAAACGCUGUCUACUAGCUGUGUGUGUAUUUUAUACGUGCGUAGCGAAGCUAACGCGCUAAGUAGACCGCCUGGGGANGUNACNGGCCGCAAGGUUAAAACUCAAAUGAAUUGACGGGGGCCCGCACAAGCGGUGGAGCAUGUGGUUUAAUUCGAUGCAACGCGAAGAACCUUACCUACACUUGACAUGCAGAGAACUUUCUAGAGAUAGAUUGGUGCCUUCGGGAACUCUGACACAGGUGCUGCAUGGCUGUCGUCAGCUCGUGUCGUGAGAUGUUGGGUUAAGUCCCGCAACGAGCGCAACCCUUGUCCUUAGUUGCCAGCCUUAAGUUGGGCACUCUAAGGAGACUGCCGGUGACAAACCGGAGGAAGGUGGGGACGACGUCAAGUCAUCAUGGCCCUUACGUGUAGGGCUACACACGUGCUACAAUGGCAAGUACAGAGGGAAGCGAGACAGUGAUGUGGAGCGGA
rnacentral:rRNA from 1 species